UGGCUAAAUUGGUAAAAGCAUCGCCGAUUACAUGCGAAGAUGCGGGUUCGAGUCCCGC
rfam:Operophtera brumata OBRT01_Sc04716, whole genome shotgun sequence.